rnacentral:rRNA from 1 species
UACGUAGGGUGCGAGCGUUGUCCGGAAUUAUUGGGCGUAAAGAGCUCGUAGGCGGUCUGUCGCGUCGAUCGUGAAAACUUGGGGCUUAACCCUGAGCUUGCGGUCGAUACGGGCAUGACUGGAGUUCGGCAGGGGAGACUGGAAUUCCUGGUGUAGCGGUGAAACGCGCAGAUAUCAGGAGGAACACCGGUGGCGAAGGCGGGUCUCUGGGCCGAUACUGACGCUGAGGAGCGAAAGCGUGGGGAGCAAACAGG